UACGAAGGGUGCAAGCGUUACUCGGAAUUACUGGGCGUAAAGCGUGCGUAGGUGGUUCGUUAAGUCUGAUGUGAAAGCCCUGGGCUCAACCUGGGAAUGGCAUUGGAUACUGGCGACCUAGAGUGCGGUAGAGGGGUGUGGAAUUCCCGGUGUAGCAGUGAAAUGCGUAGAUAUCGGGAGGAAUACCAGUGGCGAAGGCGGCUUCUUGGCCUGUUCUUGACGCUGAGGCGCGAAAGCUGGGGGAGCAAACGGG
rnacentral:rRNA from 1 species